rnacentral:rRNA from 1 species
CUGGACUAGAAUGUGAGGGAAUGUCGGGUAAUGCCGGCAGUCCGGGAAACCGGACCCAAAACAAGGUGCUGCAUGGCUGUCGUCAGCUCGUGUCGUGAGAUGUUGGGUUAAGUCCCGCAACGAGCGCAACCCUUAUCAACAGUUGCCAUCAUUUAGUUGGGAACUCUGUUGAGACUGCCGUUGAUAAAACGGAGGAAGGUGGGGAUGAUGUCAAGUCAUCAUGGCCUUUAUGUUCAGGGCUACACACGUGCUACAAUGGACGGUACAAAACGUCGCAAUCCCGCAAGGGGGAGCUAAUCGCUAAAACCGUUCUCAGUUCGGAUUGAAGUCUGCAACUCGACUUCAUGAAGUUGGAAUCGCUAGUAAUCGCAAAUCAGCACGUUGCGGUGAAUACGUUCCC